rnacentral:rRNA from 1 species
CGGUCUGGUGGCGAGUGGCGAACGGGUGAGUAAUGCAUCGGAACGUGCCCAACUGUGGGGGAUAGCUCGGCGAAAGCCGGAUUAAUACCGCAUACGAUCCACGGAUGAAAGCGGGGGACCUUCGGGCCUCGCGCAGUUGGAGCGGCCGAUGUUAGAUUAGGUAGUUGGUGGGGUAAAGGCUCACCAAGCCGACGAUCUAUAGCUGGUCUGAGAGGACGACCAGCCACACUGGGACUGAGACACGGCCCAGACUCCUACGGGAGGCAGCAGUGGGGAAUUUUGGACAAUGGGCGCAAGCCUGAUCCAGCAAUACCGCGUGCAGGAAGAAGGCCUUCGGGUUGUAAACUGCUUUUGUACGGAACGAAAAGGUCUGGGUUAAUACCCUGGGCUCAUGACGGUACCGUAAGAAUAAGCACCGGCUAACUACGUGCCAGCAGCCGCGGUAAUACGUAGGGUGCAAGCGUUAAUCGGAAUUACUGGGCGUAAAGCGUGCGCAGGCGGUUAUGUAAGACAGGCGUGAAAUCCCCGGGCUCAACCUGGGAAUUGCGCUUGUGACUGCAUAACUAGAGUACGGUAGAGGGGGAUGGAAUUCCGCGUGUAGCAGUGAAAUGCGUAGAUAUGCGGAGGAACACCAAUGGCGAAGGCAGUCCCCUGGACCUGUACUGACGCUCAUGCACGAAAGCGUGGGGAGCAAACAGGA